CCAGUCUUCGGUCCCGGGUAUACGAUAGCUGCGCUCCCCUGUUAGAACCUCCAAACAAGCUCAAGGUCCAUUUGUAGGAGAACGUAGGGUAGUCAUAGGAAUAUUUCAAAAGAAUUUUUAACUUCACAUGUUAAUGUAU
rnacentral:snRNA from 1 species